rnacentral:tRNA from 1 species
GGAGAGGUGCCAGAGUGGUCGAAUGGGGCGGUCUCGAAAACCGUUGACCGUGCGAGCGGUCCGUGGGUUCGAAUCCCACCCUCUCCGCCA